rfam:TPA: Bos taurus chromosome 5, whole genome shotgun sequence.
CCUGGUGGCUCAGACGGUAAAGCGUCUGCCUGCAAUGCGGGAGACCCGGGUUCGAUUCCUGGGUCAGGA